rnacentral:tRNA from 10 species
UGGGGGAUCGUCUAGCGGUAGGACCGCGGACUCUGACUCCGCUAACCGUGGUUCGAAUCCACGUCCCCCAGCCA